CCUGGCUCCGUUGAGCGCUAGCUACAGGCUUAACACAUGCAAGUCGAGGGGCAGCAUGGUCUUAGCUUGCUAAGGCCGAUGGCGACCGGCGCACGGGUGAGUAACACGUAUCCAACCUGCCGUCUACUCUUGGACAGCCUUCUGAAAGGAAGAUUAAUACAAGAUGGCAUCAUGAGUCCGCAUGUUCACAUGAUUAAAGGUAUUCCGGUAGACGAUGGGGAUGCGUUCCAUUAGAUAGUAGGCGGGGUAACGGCCCACCUAGUCUUCGAUGGAUAGGGGUUCUGAGAGGAAGGUCCCCCACAUUGGAACUGAGACACGGUCCAAACUCCUACGGGAGGCAGCAGUGAGGAAUAUUGGUCAAUGGGCGAGAGCCUGAACCAGCCAAGUAGCGUGAAGGAUGACUGCCCUAUGGGUUGUAAACUUCUUUUAUAAAGGAAUAAAGUCGGGUAUGCAUACCCGUUUGCAUGUACUUUAUGAAUAAGGAUCGGCUAACUCCGUGCCAGCAGCCGCGGUAAUACGGAGGAUCCGAGCGUUAUCCGGAUUUAUUGGGUUUAAAGGGAGCGUAGAUGGAUGUUUAAGUCAGUUGUGAAAGUUUGCGGCUCAACCGUAAAAUUGCAGUUGAUACUGGAUAUCUUGAGUGCAGUUGAGGCAGGCGGAAUUCGUGGUGUAGCGGUGAAAUGCUUAGAUAUCACGAAGAACUCCGAUUGCGAAGGCAGCCUGCUAAGCUGCAACUGACAUUGAGGCUCGAAAGUGUGGGUAUCAACCAGGAUUAGAUACCCUGGUAGACCACACGGUAAACGAUGAAUACUCGCUGUUUGCGAUAUACAGCAAGCGGCCAAGCGAAAGCGUUAAGUAUUCCACCUGGGGAGUACGCCGGCAACGGUGAAACUCAAAGGAAUUGACGGGGGCCCGCACAAGCGGAGGAACAUGUGGUUUAAUUCGAUGAUACGCGAGGAACCUUACCCGGGCUUAAAUUGCAGAUGAAUUACGGUGAAAGCCGUAAGCCGCAAGGCAUCUGUGAAGGUGCUGCAUGGUUGUCGUCAGCUCGUGCCGUGAGGUGUCGGCUUAAGUGCCAUAACGAGCGCAACCCUUGUUGUCAGUUACUAACAGGUUCCGCUGAGGACUCUGACAAGACUGCCAUCGUAAGAUGUGAGGAAGGUGGGGAUGACGUCAAAUCAGCACGGCCCUUACGUCCGGGGCUACACACGUGUUACAAUGGGGGGUACAGAGGGCCGCUACCACGCGAGUGGAUGCCAAUCCCCAAAACCUCUCUCAGUUCGGACUGGAGUCUGCAACCCGACUCCACGAAGCUGGAUUCGCUAGUAAUCGCGCAUCAGCCACGGCGCGGUGAAUACGUUCCCGGGCCUUGUACACACCGCCC
rnacentral:rRNA from 1 species